rnacentral:rRNA from 1 species
AGAAUGCAGUCGAACGAUGAUGCCCAGCUUGCUGGGUGGAUUAGUGGCGAACGGGUGAGUAACACGUGAGUAACCUGCCCCUGACUCUGGGAUAAGCGUUGGAAACGACGUCUAAUACUGGAUAUGAUCACUGGCCGCAUGGUCUGGUGGUGGAAAGAUUUUUUGGUUGGGGAUGGACUCGCGGCCUAUCAGCUUGUUGGUGAGGUAAUGGCUCACCAAGGCGACGACGGGUAGCCGGCCUGAGAGGGUGACCGGCCACACUGGGACUGAGACACGGCCCAGACUCCUACGGGAGGCAGCAGUGGGGAAUAUUGCACAAUGGGCGAAAGCCUGAUGCAGCAACGCCGCGUGAGGGAUGACGGCCUUCGGGUUGUAAACCUCUUUUAGUAGGGAAGAAGCGAAAGUGACGGUACCUGCAGAAAAAGCACCGGCUAACUACGUGCCAGCAGCCGCGGUAAUACGUAGGGUGCAAGCGUUGUCCGGAAUUAUUGGGCGUAAAGAGCUCGUAGGCGGUUUGUCGCGUCUGCUGUGAAAUCCCGAGGCUCAACCUCGGGCUUGCAGUGGGUACGGGCAGACUAGAGUGCGGUAGGGGAGAUUGGAAUUCCUGGUGUAGCGGUGGAAUGCGCAGAUAUCAGGAGGAACACCGAUGGCGAAGGCAGAUCUCUGGGCCGUAACUGACGCUGAGGAGCGAAAGCAUGGGGAGCGAACAGGAUUAGAUACCCUGGUAGUCCAUGCCGUAAACGUUGGGCGCUAGAUGUAGGGACCUUUCCACGGUUUUCUGUGUCGUAGCUAACGCAUUAAGCGCCCCGCCUGGGGAGUACGGCCGCAAGGCUAAAACUCAAAGGAAUUGACGGGGGCCCGCACAAGCGGCGGAGCAUGCGGAUUAAUUCGAUGCAACGCGAAGAACCUUACCAAGGCUUGACAUACACCGGAAACGGCCAGAGAUGGUCGCCCCCUUGUGGUCGGUGUACAGGUGGUGCAUGGUUGUCGUCAGCUCGUGUCGUGAGAUGUUGGGUUAAGUCCCGCAACGAGCGCAACCCUCGUUCUAUGUUGCCAGCGGGUUAUGCCGGGGACUCAUAGGAGACUGCCGGGGUCAACUCGGAGGAAGGUGGGGAUGACGUCAAAUCAUCAUGCCCCUUAUGUCUUGGGCUUCACGCAUGCUACAAUGGCCGGUACAAAGGGCUGCGAUACCGUAAGGUGGAGCGAAUCCCAAAAAGCCGGUCUCAGUUCGGAUUGAGGUCUGCAACUCGACCUCAUGAAGUCGGAGUCGCUAGUAAUCGCAGAUCAGCAACGCUGCGGUGAAUACGUUCCCGGGCCUUGUACACACCGCCCGUCAAGUCAUGAAAGUCGGUAACACCCGAAGCCGGUGGCCUAACUCGU